GCGCGGUUAGUUCAAUGGUCAGAAUAUCGCUCCGUAAGGGCGAAGACACGGGUUCGAUUCCCGGACCGUCGCC
rnacentral:tRNA from 1 species